rnacentral:snoRNA from 1 species
GGGAGGUGAUGAGCUCUCUUAGCCUGACCUUAUAGAGCGAGGAGCAAAAAAACCGAUUUAAUGAGCCUGAUCA